UAGUGAGUUUGAUCCUGGCUCAGAACGAACGCUGGCGGCAUGCUUAACACAUGCAAGUCGAACGAGACCUUCGGGUCUAGUGGCGCACGGGUGCGUAACGCGUGGGAACCUGCCCGUUAGGUUCGGAAUAACUCAGAGAAACUUUGAGCUAAUACCGGAUAAUGUCUUCGGACCAAAGAUUUAUCGCCUUUGGAUGGGCCCGCGUAGGAUUAGCUUGUUGGUGGGGUAAUGGCCUACCGAAGGCGACGAUCCUUAGC
rnacentral:rRNA from 1 species